rnacentral:sRNA from 1 species
AAAGAAUUACUAUAUGUUCUGGCCCCUUCCCCUCCAGUUAAACAGGUGUUCAAGGAGCUGGAGUUUCUGGGUUGGUAUACCACAGGGGGGCCACCUGACCCCUCGGACAUCCACGUCCAUAAGCAGGUAUGCAUGCUCACACCUGUGCAUGCUGGGGCAGAGAAUGGAGAAUGAGAAGGAGAAAGGUGGGGGGCACUGACUUCCUGUGCAUUGUCCCUCUCUUCCAGGUGUGUGAGAUCAUCGAGAGCCCCCUCUUUCUGAAGUUGAACCCUAUGACCAAGCACACAGAUCUUCCUGUCAGUGUUUUUGAGUCUGUCAUCGAUAUAAUCAAUGGAGAGGCCACAAUGCUGUUUGCUGAGCUGACCUACACUCUGGCCACAGAGGAAGCGGAACGCAUUGGUGUAGACCACGUAGCCCGAAUGACAGCAACAGGCAGUGGAGAGAACUCCACUGUGGCUGAACACCUGAUAGCACAGCACAGCGCCAUCAAGAUGCUGCACAGCCGCGUCAAGCUCAUCUUGGAGUACGUCAAGGCCUCUGAAGCGGGAGAGGUCCCCUUUAAUCAUGAGAUCCUGCGGGAGGCCUAUGCUCUGUGUCACUGUCUCCCGGUGCUCAGCACAGACAAGUUCAAGACAGAUUUUUAUGAUCAAUGCAACGACGUGGGGCUCAUGGCCUACCUCGGCACCAUCACCAAAACGUGCAACACCAUGAACCAGUUUGUGAACAAGUUCAACGUCCUCUAUGACCGA